rnacentral:rRNA from 1 species
UACGUAGGGCGCAAGCGUUGUCCGGAAUUAUUGGGCGUAAAGAGCUCGUAGGCGGCUUGUCACGUCGGGUGUGAAAGCCCGGGGCUUAACCCCGGGUCUGCAUUCGAUACGGGCAGGCUAGAGUGUGGUAGGGGAGAUCGGAAUUCCUGGUGUAGCGGUGAAAUGCGCAGAUAUCAGGAGGAACACCGGAGGCGAAGGCGGUCCACUGGGUCCUUUCUGACGCUGAGGGACGAAAGCUAGGGGAGCGAACGGG